GCAACCAGUAAAGAUUACAGAGAGGUGAUCUCUGAUUCUGAAUUUGAUGAACUCGAAAAUACUAUGUCAUCAAUGCAGAUAUCGGAAAUCGAUGAAAGUUGGCUCAAUGAAAGUUUUGGACAUGAAACAAUUGAGGAAGAUGAGGAAAUGAAAAGUCUAUUAGAGCGCCUAAGGAAAAAAAAUAGAGCUGCAAACCCAGGUGAAGACUAUUGUUU